UAGCAAAAGGCUGGGGCAGUCCAAGAUGGCGGCGGCCAUGGUCCGGUCUGUGCUCUGGGUCUGGAGAAGAACCGACAUCCAGCGAGGCUGCGGACUAAGGCAGCUGGGAAAAUUAACAAAGAGAUGGUUUGUUGUCUCAGAGCCAGAAGCCUCCUGAUUACCCCAGCUUUGUGGAGUCUGCAGAUGAGUACCGGUUUGUGGAGCGCCUCUUACCCCCUACCAACAUCCCACAGCCCCCCAAACAUGAACAUUAUCCCACACCUAGUGGCUGGCAGCCUCCCCGAGACCCCCCACCCAACCUGCCCUAUGUUGUGCGGCGCUCCCGGAUGUACAACAUUCCUGUCUACAGGGACAUCACACAUGGUAACCGCCAGAUGACUGUGAUCCGGAAGGUGGAAGGGGACAUCUGGGCUCUGCAGAAGGAUGUAGAAGAUUUUUUGAGCCCACUGCUGGGGAAGAAACCAGUCACCCAGGUUAAUGAGGUGACAGGUACUCUGCGGGUCAAGGGCUACUUUGAUGAGCAACUUAAAACCUGGCUUCUUGAGAAGGGCUUCUGAGCCCCACUGAGCAACCUGUGUGGCUGGAAGCCAGGGGACCUCAGGAGGAGGGAAUGGGACAUUGGAGCCUUUGGGAACAGGGCUACGGGCUCGGGCUGAUCCCAGUGUGAGGCUGAAAGGCUUUAGGUAAGUCAGGCCUUGAUUGAAUAAGGGAGAAAUCAGACUCCUCCAUACAAGGGUCCACUGGGAGAGAGUUGACCAGCAUGGGAGACCCACCAGGAAAAACCAUUCUCAAGCUAGUUGGGAGGGUAUUAGCUGCUGUCCUUCCACUCAUAGUGGCUUGUUUCUUGGGAUUCCUUGGAUUUAGCUGUUCAGAUUCUAGGGAUUAUCAUCUGGUGGAAGCAGUUGCCCCACCCUGUUUAGGGAGGGUUUACAGAUUAAUCUUUUAGCCUUCCUGGGGUUCACUGAGAUCUUUCCCGGCGCUUGCUGUAGGCCAGACUCCGUCUGGUGGAGGUUGUGGACACAGGGUCCUGAGUAGCAUCUUAAAGUUCCAAAAGCAGUGUUGGAGAAGAGGAAGCACAGAAUGUCAGCCCCUGGAGAGGUCCCUGCUCCAUUCCAGACCAGAGUUGUUUGCCUGACCAGGUUUCCAUUGCCACAAGUUAAAUGAUUUGCUUUGGGCUGGCCUGGCCACAAGGGGGCAUCUUGGUGCUUCUGAGAGCCCAGCCCAAGGCCAUCCUGUCAAGGCUGCUGAACUAGAAUCCAGGCUGGACAGAGGUUUGCAGGUGGGAGGGUGAAGGUGCAGGUCCUUUACACCCUUGCCGGCCAUCCUUCCCGCUCGGCACCAACUAGACUUCACACUUGUUCCACCCUCAGAGCCACAGCCGCCUAAGCCCGGAGUUCCCGCUCCCACUCCUCCAUCUAAGCAGCUAAGGCAGGGUUUGGCUCCUGGCUACCCUACUUAUCUCUAACCUAAGGCAGAGAGCCUUGAAGUUCUCUGGGGCUCAGUUUCUCCAUAUGUAAAGCAGUCAAGUGGACCCACAACAGCAUCCUCCCUCCUG